rnacentral:rRNA from 1 species
AUGGCCUUGCCGGCGAUCGCCGACGAGCUCCUGGUGGAUAUCUUCCUCCGCCUUCCCACCCCAGAGGAUCUCAUCCGAGCCUCCGCCGCCUGCGUCUCCUUCCGCCGCCUCGUGGCCGACCGAUCCUUCCUCCGGCGCUUCCGCAAGCUCCACCCCCCGCCCCUCCUCGGCUUCCUCGACCCAAAUCGGCACUGCUUCCACCCGGCCGUCCCGCCUCACCCCUCUGCGCCGCCGGCCAGCGCCGUAGCCAGCGCCGCCGACUUCUCCUUCGACUUCCUCCCCGGCUCCUCCCGGGACUGGUCCGUGCUGGAUGUCCGCGACGGCCGCGUCCUCCUCAGCAGACCCCGCCGCGCCGGUAAGGGUCUCAAUGAGAUGGUGGUAUGCGACCCCUUGCACCGGCAGUAUCUCCUGCUUCCCGAGCUCCCCGAUGACCUAGUCGCUUCGUGGAUUGACACACUCGUGACUGAAGGGCCGCGCUUCAGCGGAUCCUACAGAGAGACCUUCCUCGUCUCUCCCUGCGACGACGAGGAGGCAGCUGCUACGGAGGAGACGUCAUUCAGGGUGAUCUGGAUGACGCUGCUCCAAACUAAGCCGAUGGCCGCUGUCUUCUCUUCCGGCACAGGGCAAUGGCGAGCCAUUCCACCCCUGACUCGGAGCGAGUCGUUACCUGGCUUCGUGCUAUCGACAUGGAUGGUUUCGUUCGUGUCGCGCCAUUACGCCAAUGGUCGCUUCUACUGGAUUUCAGGUUCGACUGAAAAAUUGCUCGUGCUUGACAUCCGAAGGAUGGAGUUCUCCAUGACUGACCACCCACCCUGUGUCAGAGGUGUGAGUGAUGAUGUGGCCAUCGCGGAGGCCGGCCAAGGCAUGACUGUGAUGUUUGUGCCUAAACCUAACACACCUCGCUUUACCUAUUCAGUUUGGCGAAACAACGGUGGGAGUUCCACCCAGUGGCAGACGGAGGAGAAGACAAUCUCGCUGGAUUAUGGGUCCUUGAUCAUGGGUGCAGUGGGGAGGCACUUGCUCUUGUAUCGUGGCUCGUUCUUCAAGCCAGGUUACUUCACACAGGACGUCAACACGUUCGAGCUUGAGAGAGUGUGUGAUGCAUUAUCGAGACAAGCACACGGAUAUUGCAACUUCCCACCGUCGUUAUUAUCGUCACCUACAGUGUAA